UUUCUUCGGUUUGUUGUUGUUGCUUGAAAGCGCUUUUCACCUGCGCUUUCUCAAAAGACCACGGCUGUCCCGCGUUGAGGAGAUACGAGGCGUCCUGGUGCGCGUUUUUAUUUUUAACGUUUUACAACGUGUGCCAUUUUUUUUUCUCCAGCGGCCUCGAGCUGUGGGGCAAGCAGCCCGUGUUCUUAAUAGCCGACGAUUAAUCGGUUGUGUUUGUAAACAUUGCAAGCUCAGUCAGCUGCCGCGAGAAGGUCUCCAUUCCAAGACGGAGGUUUAUGGGAAGAUGCGACACUUGAAGUGAUGAACAAUGGUCGAACAAGAGAUGCGAGGUUGGAGCGAACAUAUCAAACACUCUUUGUCAGGGCCCUGACAAAUGAAAGCGCCCUUGUCGAAAUGUUAGCUUUAAUGUGGGCCAUCUCUUAUGUGACCACUGUUCAUCAAUCACUUCAGGUUUCCGUUGUUUCUUUGGGCUGUACUUUUUUUUUGUUAUUAUGUCACGUUCAAUAUAUUACAUAUUAUGUCUAAAGCACUGGGCUUUUUUACUGCAUGCUCAGCUGUUGUGUUCGUUUUCUUCUAGCAUGAACUCGUUGUGUAUUCACACCUUGUUUCCUUGUCUUUUGCACUCUUUGUCAUCGCAUUGUCUUUCAAGUGGAUUUGCACGUUUUGCAUUUCAUUUGCAGGUUGACCAAGCAGCAGUGUGCAAAAAAGUAGUGUUCAACUGUGAAACAAGUAAUAAGGAACUAAAAGCUUUUUUAAUAUUUCUUUCUUUAUAUACCGUAGUGUCAGUACAAUAUUCACACCUAGGUAGACUUUGUAAAAAAUGAAAGCUUAUAAUUAUACCGUAUUUGUUUACUGCUUCCAUCUCCAGUUCUCUUUAUCUAUGUACUUAUAAAAGUGCAAUUGAGUGUGCUGCUGUAAAAUUUAUAGAAUUGCUAACUCUAUGUUUCUGUUACUAGCAACUGCCAUAACUUAUUGUGUGGUGCCUUUUCUAGUGCUUUCUUUUAUCAUAUUUUUUAUAAUGCAAUACAAAACACUGCUUCUUUUGCAUUGAUUUAUUUAUUGCACCAUAUCUUUUACUUACAGGAAUUACUAAAGUUUAAAAAAAAUGAAAAAGUUGUCCAUUCUUGUUUUCUUUAAAUGCACCCCCUCCCGCCUCUUGUAUAACACCCCAGUCAGAGCCGUUAAAGCUAAAAUCAAUGAUGGAGAUUUUUCUCUCAUGGAAAGGCGGUGUUUAUGUAAGCCUGGGAUGCAAUGGUUCUGUUUCUUUUUUCCCCACACGCUAUCACUGGUUAGAGCAGCUCUCCAGCUACAUAUGUUAUCAGGAUUGGCCAGUCAUGAGCGGUGGGUGAUAUGAAAAAAAAAAAAAAAAAAAAAUCUGAAAAAGCAAUUCUUACAUUACACUAACCCUGUUUUGGCUAAAUAAGCACCUUGGUUUAUUCUUAAAUUGAAAAGCCAUAAAAGUUUAGAAGUGAAUUAAACAAAAAAGAACUUAGAGGGGUAAUAGGCUCAACAAAUUUACGGUGGAUGGAAGUAUGCUUUUGAUAUUAAUAUCAUCUGGUUGCAAGGAUACUUCGGCACAGCACAAGAAGAUGGGACAUGAUUAGUAGACUCAACCAGGCUGAAAUAUACUCGUAAAGUAUUCUUCUACAAGUAUUCUUGUAGAUAUAUACUAACAAGCCCAAUUUACAACCCUUCUGCACAAUUUUCUGGUUAGCAGCAUACAGUCUGAAAACUAAGAAAAAAUACAGAAAGAGCUACAGGAAGUGCGUUAUCGUUUUUCAUUCUUUCGUACCAUCAUUUGUUCAGAAAAAGAGACAGCUGUGGUCCAUUGCAUAUUGUCAUGCCAAUGACGUGCACUUUCUGUGUGGUGUGUAACCUUGGUGUGUCUGACAUAACCAAAUUACUUUGUUUCAGGACUUCCAGAAAACCCACUUUGUGCCUUUGAUGAAGAAACUGGAAGCAGUUACUGUUCUUCUGCUACCAUUUUGUCACUGAUAAAAAUUGUCCUCAGAACUGUUCAUGUCUCUGCCACACAUGCAUGAAGUUUGUUUGGACUGUUGACUGUUCAUGAGGUUUUAAUUAACACCUGUGUUUAUGUGCCUCUGGUAUAUCUGGAUUUUAGUAUGUGCAAUUCUGAAAAUUUUACACAUCAUGGCAAUACACUUUCCAAUGAGAAACUAUUCAGGUCAAUGUGCUUGUUCCUGUCACACUGCUACGAUACCUUCUGUAGAGUUGCUGAUGAUAAAAGUCACAAUUGGCUGGUUUUCUCACGUGCAAAAAUAAAGCAUUCUCACAAGCAUAUAUUCUACUUUGUAUUUUGGAUCAAUAUCUUACGUAACUUCUUCCAAGUUCACUUGGAAAAGGAUCAAAGGCAUACUCGACUGGGUACCGAGGCAUCGAGAAGGGUAUUACUGCAGCUAAUUUUGGGACAAUGCAUAGACAAUGCUGGAGUGCUGUGGAGACUGAGGCAAGCUCUGAACCUCAAGAUUUCAAAUAUCUUGAAGGUUGAUGCCAUCACACAACACAGCCAGGUCUAGGUACUGCUCGUGCUUCUAAUGGCUUUGUAGCGUGCAACGAAGGUUGUACCUGCUGUGAGACUAGUCAACUUGAGGAUUAUUUGGUUUUGUUAAGAGUGUUGCUUUCCUGGCAGCCUGCUUCUUGCUUUUCGCUAAUUAUAUGAGAGUAAUGCUGCACAGAGUCAAAGAACUCAUGAGUGAGCACGAGUGCUUGAACAGAAAAAUGUGUGCUGGGGUUCUCUUUAUGCCAUGUGCAACAGUUUUCCACCUAUUUUUUCACGUUAUGUUUGCUGACCAUAGAAGUAAGCGGAGUAUUCUUGUGCGUUUAUGAUAGGUGAGCAGCCAACCAUUCUUGAAGCAAUGCAACCAGCACUUAUAAAUCAGGAAAAAAAGGAAGCUAUGUGCAGUUAAGAUAGUGGUGACCUCUUUUCAUUUGUGAGCAGACUUCUCACAAGAAAACAUUCUUCUUUGUUGUUUAACUUAUGCAAGAAUUGUGAGCAGCCCACUUGUGAAACAGCGAGUUAUCGUGUUAGCCCAGGGCCUCUGUGCUGUACCGCUGUGUACCAUUUCUCAGUUAGCGGGCAAAGCUCCAGUAUACAAAUUGAGAUAUAACACUCAGUCUGAAAACUUAGACCAACAUUGCAUAGGUUGUAUCCUUCUAAUAAAUAACUUUGCCUUUGUUUGCCAGUUUAGCACUACUUCUGUUGUUUAAUGGCUGUUGUUAAAUUUUUGCCGUGUCAGUUACUUGGCAUCUUCUUCUGCCAAAGUAAAUUAUAAUUGGUUGGGUUCAACACAAUCUCACUGAAAACCAUGCUUGUUUACAUGACCCUUUUUCAGGGUGUGGUAAGUAUAACCAUAUAACCGCUUUUAUUUACAGAACACCAGUAGUGACGCCUAGUGGAAUUUUGUUCAACCACAACCUGUUUGGAAGCUUGUUACCUUGUGUGGAUGUUCUCAAUGACACCUAGUGAUUGCAACCACACAUCUUUAGAAACUUAAGUUGCACGAGUGUUCUCAUUGUAGUGACGCAUUGUUUUUUAGAAACUUUCUUGUGUUGCACAAAUGUUCUCCCCCAAAAGAAAGGCUUAUAUAUGUCAAUGAUUGCUGCCUAUGUCUUUACAACAGUAGCUAAGCAGAACUGCAGGUCAUUGUAGUUUUAGUCUUGUAUGCUCUCUAAUUGGACUCAACAUCACAAGUUAGUGCUACCAGUGCUCCACGUUAAUGGUAAUAGUUCAUUGAAGCACAGGCUAAAACUAUUAUCUUCUUUUCUUUGCAUAAGGACUUUGUGCAGGGCUUCACAGUACUUUUUCUUCUACAAACAGUUAGCAGCAACAACAAAAAAUAAAAGGCGACUAGCUCCUUGUCAUACCCGACUGAUUAGUGCCUUGCUGUUGUUCUGUUUGACACCAGGACGUGCCAGCCAGGACUGGCACAUUCAGCUGAACUCCCACUUCCUGCGGCCGAACCAGUUCCGGUGCCACCGGUGCUCCCGGAUGUUCACGCGGCGCAGCAGCCUUGAGCGGCAUGCGCUCAUCCACACCGGGGAUCGGCCCUUCAGGUGCCUCUACUGUGGCGCCUCGUUUGCCCUCAAGCAAACCCUCUCGCGGCACAUCCUGACCCACACGGGCGAGAAGCCGCACAAGUGCGACUUCUGCCUGCGCACCUUCAUCCAGAGGUCCAUCCUGGUGCGACACCGCAAGAAGCACCUCCAAGAGCAGGGCAUCGCCGUCAGCUGAGGAGCACACGCUUCAGCAUCUUCGCAUGGACGCUUGAGUGCCACAGUGUCUGCUUUAGCACUUCCCUCGUAGGCUGUGGAGACAGGAGAGGAGGAGAGAGGAGACAGGUGCUUCAGCACAUUUUCUCACUCUUGUGACUACAGCUGGAGUGUUCCCAAGGCGUCUUCAAGAGCAUCACCGUCAGCUGAAGUACAGAUGCUUCAGAGCCUUCGCCACUUGACUGGCACAUGGUCUACUCUGGCGUUGCCCUCAAAGAGGUGGUCCAUUGCCAUCAACGAAGAGACGGGUAAUCCAGCACACUUCUUCGAACACUUGACCAUGGCUGAUGUGUUAUAGUGGCAUCUUUAAGAACAGGGCACUGCCAUCAUGUGACGGAUGAGUGCUUUACUAAUUUCUCUUCGACGCUCGACAUGCCGAGUGGCAUACGGCUGCAUGUCCUGGACGGGCACGUUGACUGCAGAAAGCAUUCGCAGGCCAACAUGUGUAUGGCUGGACCUGACAGCAGCUGCUGGUGGCAUAAUUUCAUGAAUUGGUGGGCUUGUUUUUAUUGCUCGAAUUUUAUUGUGCAUCUUUCACCUCACGCAUACUCUCAAGCCGGUGCCGCUCGCGCUCUGCUUUGAACUGUUUUUGGCGCACGAAGAUGUUGGCCACUGCUAGCCAGUCACAUUCCACAGCUCGAAGUGUUCCCAUCACGGUGUCUUGUCCAGGCAUGCCAUCUCAGGGCACAUUUUCACGCACACAGAUUGCUGGUCACAAAUUUGUAGCCUCUACUAGCAAGCUAUCGUUUGAUGGUCUGAUAAAAUCCUGCGUAGUACUGCAAGGAUCGCUGCCAGGACUUGGCAUCACGUCUGCUGACUAAGAGACAGAGUCUACAACUUACUUAGCUGCCUUUCAGUGACUUGUAUCAGAGCUGGACAACCAACCGUAACACUGCAGCAAUGUGUGUUCAACUCCAAUAAGUGGUAGCAGAAAGCGUAUGUGUAGGCAAUGUCGUGAUGCAAGCAGCGCUGCACGACCUUGACAUGUCACGCAGGCUCGUGUGCUGUGGCCCAACAGGAAUCCUGGCAUCGUUUCUUCAUGCCUGUCAUGCAAACCUGUGAAACAGCCAGUGUCUGGCAUUACAUGUCAACGGCAACUCUUUAUGUUGUCUUGAUUAAGUGUAUAAGUAAUGUGCGUGUGGCCUCGUAGCACAGUGCAGUGGUUUUGCUGAUGUGUGAUAGGGCAUUUCUACGUUCUUUUAAUGUCUAAGUUUUAUGGCGCCGCUAUUUGUCAACAACUUUUGUUUAUGUUGCAAAGGGACACUUGGGUCAACUGCGCAAUGCUGCAUGUUUGCAGCGCAUACUUUAACACAGCCCAGCAGUAGGAAUGUUGCUUGCAUAAAUAAGUGCUUAUUAAGCUUCUACAAAUCUAGGUCAGAUAGCCCAAGAAUAAGGCACAGGAAUUUUCAAGCAGCACUGCUUUAAACUGUCCUCCUGUUUACAGUGGCCAACAUUCACAUGGAACUUUCCAAGAUGUCAUGGCAAAAGUGCUGUUGCAUUUUAUAAUUAAUAAUGUUCGCUUUAUCUGAUAAAUGAAAACCUCUUUUGUAGAGCUAGUGUGCUCACUGCUGUAAUGGGUUGCUCACUUGAACAUGUGGAACAGAGGUACGAGCAGAUGUGUGAAGCGAUACCACAGGGAGGCAUGGCGUGUUUGUCGGGCUGCGUGUCUGUAUCGGCUUGUUUUUGUCGAGCCAGUGUUAUUCUGAACAAUCUGAGCUUCCCCAUGAGACAUUGUUAAAUACUGUUAUACAUCUACAUCCUUUGAUUAGCGUUUAUUUUUGUGUGCUUCUGCAACGAGUCAGAUUCAUAUAGAUCCUGAGACAUGUACACUUGUGCAGACACGUGCCCAGACUCAGUCUAGGAAAUGAUACGUGCGGUAGACAACAGCGUUUUGUGCAUUUGGUUUAUUUCGUUUGCGCCUAGUCGUCUACCCAAUGUAUCAUAAAAGUAUAGAAUGUCAACUCGCCCAAACCUACACCCUGCUCCAGGAAAAGAUACUGCGUAAAACAGACUUAGGACGAGGAGAGACAUGUACUAGUGCGACCAUCUUCAGGGUCAUUGGCCUUUACGAGGCAUCAUUGCUGCUGCUGGGAAUUGCUGUGCAUGAUCGCUAAAACAGCACACGCCUACAAGGUACACUUUGCAGCCUCAGUGCUUGUCUAGCUGGGGGUAUACUUUCACAUUUACAUUGUUAUAGGCAGCUAGUGUUGAAUUUUUCUAUCCUUGUGUAAGGCACAUAGUACGUGUCGAAUAUAGUUGAGAACCACGAACUGCUGUCAUUGCACCCUUAUCACGAAUGCAAGCUUCUGCUCACAAUGCUGCCAUUAUUGUUGAUGCUACACGGCGUGUUCAAGCCACAGCAUGAGUCACAGAAGUCCAACUGAUCUGAGGCUAGAGUCCAUCAGGACAGAUAUUCCUCCAUCGUUCAUCUUUGGGUAUACAAUUGCUUUCACAAGGUUUUGCAUAGCUAGCACCAGACAGGUUGGCAUCUCCAGCCCAUAGCCUUCUUGGCACUGUCCCAGGAACGCUGGCGCAUUCCCGGAUGCUGACGCAUUCAGUGCUAGUCAACUUGUAAACUUGUCCCGAGUACCUCCUCUGGAUACUGAUGCUCUGAGACUCAAAGCAACCUUGCUAAUGUAGUUGCUUGUGGUAGCACUUAUUUUUAUAGAACAGUUGCUGCAUGGCUUUUAAAUGGCAUGCACUUUGCAUGCAAGUCCUGGAAUUGAAGAUACCGACAACCAGGGCCCCUAGCGGCCAUAGGCACUUAGGUGCUUACUGUAUGUCACGAAAUUCAGCUUGCAUAUAUGUUAUACAUGCUUCACUCACACCCAAUCAGACAGGACACAUGGCUAAAGUGAAAGGAGUAUGUAUUGUGGGACAAAUUGUCACAAGUCAGUAAACAAAGCAUUAUGGUGCAAGAUGUGUAUCAUACCCAGCUGCUAAAAAAAAAAAAAAAGCCAAAUUGCUGCGUGUGCCAAGAAGUCGAAUCUUUACCUUAUCCAACUUAUCUGACAUUCUUAUGCACAGAUACCAUGUGCUCGGAAAUGAGGUCAUGGUGACAUUUUUUAUAAAUAAACAAACAUCUCUUGGGGCUUCAAGCAAAUGUUAGUAGACUAAAUAUGUAAAUUCGUCACUCUUAAAUAUUGCUGCCGGCAAUGAAAGUGCAUUUUUAGCACAACCACUAUGUUACAAUAAUAAAAACAGCACUUUUAACCCGUGAAGUUUGAAUGCUGAGGUACUUGUAGUAAUAUAUGUUUUUUCAUUCUUUGGCAGCUACGAGCAAUGUAUGUGUGUGCAGACAGCAAAAAAAUUGUGAAACAGAAACCUGAUAAUGUGCAAACAGAAAGGUCACGCAAGUCUUGUGCUUCUUGAAACUAUGCUCCGUUUGGCACAUGACAAAAGCCAACUUCAAGCUGUGCAACCCAGUUCCUGUCACACUUGAAGUGCUACAAAGCUGCAAAUCCAAAUACCAGAACAACUCUUUGCCUUCGAUUUGAUUCCUUUCCAAUGACUGACUGCGCAGACAGCAGUAAUGGCAGCAAAGUGACAGAGGAACUUGUAUUUCACCAGAACAUGGCAUUAUGCAAGCUACUAAGGAACACAUAUUUGGUUCCUCAGUAGGGAAGCUUCCCUGCUGAAGGAAAGUUCACCCCCCAUGUCUUCUUCAAUUUUAAUUCUUUUACAUUUAUGUGUUGUGCUCAGUUGCUUAUCCUGGCGAUAACAAUUGGUGAAGUGGUAUGCAAGCCACUGACUGGAGGUAACACAAAGAGAAUUGGAAAAUGGUUGCAAGAUAUGGCCCCCAGUCCAGGAAUUCAAUCUAGCACACCUGUUUAGCUGGAGUUAGUCAAUUUCAAUUUAUUGCUUCUCAUAGUAGUUGCAAGUUUUGACAAAUAAAAAGUACAGAAAGAGGUCCCAUAGUCUACGACUAUUGGGAUCUGCCAAGUGAACCAACCAAGAGGCUGAACAGGCAGCUAGCUGUUAACCAGACCAUGGGCUUAACUUCCCAAAACUACACAAAGUGUUUUGAGGCAGGCAGCCAAGAGUCGAACCCUGAUCUCGAGCUCGGUGGUGCAAGCGGACCGUUCGCUUUCCCUCAUGUGAUUGGUUAGAAUCGGAAAAUUGAAAUGUUCACGAAAGGGUUUCAAAAAGAGUAAAAGUGAGACGGAGUCAUUUGUACUGUUUUCAGUUUUGGGAGAACAAUGAAUGACAAGAUUUUCUUUUCCCUCACUCUCCGAAAUUCCGGGUGGAGCACUGAAUGAAAUUGAUGCUCAGUACAUGGCUCAGAGCCAUGUCUCCUCCUAGAUUUGAGUGAGCCAUCCAAAAUUUUGAUUGGACAAAGGAUGUACAGGGCCCAGAUAAUGCAAUGAUUAUAUUCCAAUUAUUUUCUUUCUGCUGUCUUCAAUAGUCUAUGCAGCACUACACUCAUGUUAUCACCAGGAUGGGCUAGUAAUCAGUGGAGGAGGAGGAAAGAACUUUAUUGUAAUCAGUAGAGGAUGGUAAAUAAUAGAAUAAAGCGAAAGGAAACCUUACAUUAUAACGGUUCAGAACUCGUAGCCUUGGCUAAAUUCACAAGUGGUCUGCUGUUUUAGUAACGACAACAUGAAUGUGUAUGCAGAUGAACAGCCAAGCCAGCCUUCACAGAUAAUGCAUUUCAUUUGCUGGUAAUGCCAAUGCUUAUCGCAAGGCAGAGCCCAGAAUAUUGGAAGCUGCCAACUCGGUUGGUUGUAGAAGGAAACAGUGAAGAGCUAUUAUGUUUUCCAAGGCAGUGUCCCUGGUCAGUGUGGCCAGCCCGGUUUGCAGAUGACGAAACGCACUACGUUGCAAUGCUAACAAUGAUUCUCUCCUCUUUGCACUUAUGUUAUCGUACUCCAAGAGCUACUUACUCUGGUUUCAUUGUCGGAAGCCAGUAGCUAUGUUUUAGUGUUGUGUUGUGUUUGACGUGUGCGUGUGACAAGAGUUGAAGCAACUUUGUUUUUCUUCGUUACUGGAAAAUCUCAGCUUAACUGACGACGUGAAGCAAGUACCUUACAGUUAUUUCAUAAUUCUGUGCCAAUGAAUUGCAGCAGUGAAUAUGUUUUGUUGUGGCAGCCGGACUUACACUUUCCAUCGUCUUAUUUUUUUGGCUCUUUAGCAAAAAAAAAAAAAAAAAAAACUGUGGGCUUCUGUUUGUGAGAUGCGACCACGAGGGUCUUUGCCAAGACCACCUGAAAGAAAGCUGGAAGAUUCUGUUGUGGCAGCUGACUUUAAAUGUUAAAGAAAUGCUAUCUCGUUGCAGCUUGGCCUUAAAAGCCUAAUGGCAGCUACUUGUUAGUCUUUCAAACUUGGAUUAUUAUUUAUUUGUUAUUUAUGUUUUUGGUUACCCGUUUACUCCACUUGCCAAAACAGAACAAAGUAUUUCCGAGUGUUGCUGAAAGUUUUUGACUAGCAAGCACUAUUUCCGAGUGAUCAAAUGCUGCGGAGAAGUUUUGCGAUGAAAUGUCUCACAAUAAUUUGUGUUCUUUUACUUGUUAUUUAACGCACAACACAUUUUUAUACUCGGCCUUUUCAUGUUUAGCUGAAAACAAGUACAGGCCAAUUGCUUCGCUUAUGUAUAUUGUGCUUUCAUUUACUUUAUUCAAUCUUUGUUUGUCUGUUUUAGAAAACACUGUUACGUUCCAAGUUUGUAUAGACACUUUUGGUCAAGUAUGUCCUAAAGAUGUGACUGAGAACUUCAAAUUUCCUUGGAAGAAAACGCAACUCAAGCUUUGACUUCUUGGCAAAGCGCCACAUAUUUUUAAGUACACUUAUCUUUACUAGCACAUCUCUUUAUGUGUGCAUUUUUCUAAUAUAAAGAGAACUGCCGACAAAGCUUGUUGAAGUACAUGUUUGUGGGUUGCACGCUUUACUUUUUUUCCAUUGUUGGAUUUAUCACUGUUCUCAAUUGAAUGUGAGACUAAACACUGUGCUGUGAACAUCAGAUGUUUUAUUACUGACUUACAACUUACUUGCACUGAACUAUGUAAGAAGUGGAACUUGUGUUUCAGUUACACGUUGAAGUAAUAAAUUUGCACCGUGAA